CAUCUCUUCAUCCACUUAACUUGCACAUCAUCAAGGAUUGGCAUUGAUAUCUUGAAGCUUCGGUGAGCUGUUUGUUUCUAAAAUGGGUUUAUUUUGCUUUUUACCAACCUAUGGUUAUUUUGGAGCAACUAUGUGAUGAUGUGAUUUAAUGAUCAUGCUUUUGGAUUUCCUAACUUUUUUAUGGGAGUGGAAUGUUUAGACUUUGAAUGAAAACUUUCUUAUGUAAUAUGCUUUUUAAGUAGUGUGCUAGUUGAAUGUUCUAAAAUAACUAUGUGGCUAUCUUUAAUCAGUGUUUUCAUAAGAUUUGUGGAUUCAUUUUCAAUUUGUUUAUUGGUCUCGGACCAACAUCAUAUAUGCUCUUAAGGUCAGUUUAUGUAUUUCGCGAAGACUCCCAAGACUUUUUUUACCCCUGCCUCUAAUACUGAAAUGCUCAAAUGCCAUUGAAUCUUAGUAGGCAUCAACCAGCAUCAUAUAUGCUCUUACUAAGAUGUUUAUGUAUUUAGAGACUCCCAUGCCAAUACAUUUUUUACCCCUGCCUCUAAUACUGAAAUGCCAUUAAAUCUUAGUAGGCAUCACUUAUAUUGUACCAUUGAUCAAUCUUUUAACCAUUGAUCAGUCAAGAAUCCCACUACAUUACUCUCUGAUCAAACUUUUAAGGUUUGAGAUCUGAGUGCGAGCCUGGAGCUUUAAUUUGAGUGAGGACUUUAUCAAAGACCUAGUAAGACCAAGACUUGAAAAGGUGGAAAAGAGUAUAGCUGUAAAUGAUAUAUAGAUAAAAUCCUUUCGGCAAAAGAAAAGAUACACAUACCUAAUCAUCUCUUGAAGAAAAAGAAGAGAACCACAAGAGCUGGUCGAAAUCUUUUGAAGAUCAAAAUCAGGUCUAUAAUUAGGUCUUUUACUUCAAUUAUAAAUAAGUGAUUUGCUGAAGAUCAAAGUCAGGUCUGUAAAUAGGUCUUUUAUCUCUUUUAGCAAUUUAAGUUCUCAUCAUUUUUCAGUACAUCUUCAAACUUUCAAAGUUAAUAUAAUGGCACCAACGCCCCACUUCAGUACCAUUAGUCUGAAGCUCCUCAACGAUGUAAAGCGUCCAAAGGUUCUCUUUGCUGAAGUGGGGAGGGAUUUUGUGGAUUUUCUUUUCACUCUUCUUUUUUUUGCCUAUGGGGACUGUCACAAGGCUCCUCUCCGAAUGGCAUGGUUGGUGCCUUUGGCAAACUGUGUGUCUGUAUGAGAGUGUUGAAAAUCUUAGUGACACCUCAAUGCAACCUGAUUCAGACAAGGACAUCCUGCUGAAACCUAAUUAAGACGCCAGUUGCUGGACCUAAUGUCAUUGGUUUGCUAAACAAUGUUGUCGAAUCGCCCUUCUAGGAAUUUCUACAUGUGUUCUCAUAAUUGUAGUACUACUGGUGGCUACUAUAUAUCCUGCCCCGGCUGCUUCUUCCCACCGUUAUGUGACUGAAGACCCUAAUGAGCUCUGUCCGUCCUGCAAUAGAACCAUGUCUUCUGAGGCGACUUAUGUUGGUCAACCAAAGGCGAUCACCGAAGCAACUUCCGGCGCCGGUGUUGCAGGAUAUGUCAAAGGCGUUGUUACGUACAUGAUAAUGGAUGAUUUGGAGGUAAAGCCUAUGUUGACCAUUUCAAGCAAAACCCUGCUCAACAGGUUCAAUGUCAAAGAUAUUAGUGCCCUUGAAGAGAAGGUUGUUGAACUUAGCAUGGAUGAGGCUUAAGGAACAGGACAUGGCUGCCAAAGACGCCUACCAAUAUUUUGUUCUCAAAGCACAAGAAAUAGCAAUUUCCGAAAAUUGGACCCCGGUCAACUGGAAUGUCUAAGAUUAUAUCAAAUUGUUAUCGUCAUUUUAAUUUACUGUUGGCCGUUUCCCUUUGCAUUGGUCUGCAUGGCAACUUGGCAAGUUCGCAGAUUGCUGUUUCCUUGUAUUCUCUAUGAUCUUGACAAGGUUAAAGUUAUGAAACAGCAGUUUCUAAAUAAAGGGCUUAACUGGUCAAAGUUUGUUUCAAUUGUCGAUUGUUUCUCAAUACUGUAAAAGUUAAUGUGACAGAUCGACCUAAGUUUUCUUACCUCAGGGAAGAAACCUUCAACACCUUCCCUACGAAGCUCAAUCCAAAGACUGUAGUGCAUAACUGGUUGGGCGGAGGGGUUUGUCCAAAGGCUGUUGAUAAAGGUUUCAGAUGCAUUUUCAGCAAUCAAGGUGUUUGGUAUCUUGACCAUCUAGAUGUCCCUUGGGAUGCUACAUAUAAUGCUGACCCGCUUGAAGGAAUAGAUGAUUCUUCCAAGCAAAAGCUUGUCCUUGGAGGAGAAGUAUAUAUGCAUGUGGGGUGAGACUGCUGAUGCAUCAAAUGUUCAGCAAACAAUAUGGCCUCGAGCUGCAGCAGCUGCAGAGCGCCUGUGGAGCAGAAAGGAGUCAACUUCUGGAAAAAGUAGUAAUGAAACUGCGCUACCUCGGCUACACUACUUCAGAUGCCUCUUGAAUAGGCGUGGAGUUCAAGCCGCUCCAGUUGAAAACUUCUACGCUCGAAGUGCUCCUCCUGGUGCUGGCUCAUGUUAUGCUCAAUAAUUUUUCCAUCCAUCAUAUAAUGUGAUUUCAUGUAUUCAGAAAUGAACAUUUAUCUAUUUCGAUUAAAUAUACAUGCCUUUUUAUGAUAGUUGUUAUUAGCUUACAAUAAAUGCAAGCAUUCCAGAAAUUCAGCAUUUCUCUUGUUUAAUAAAAAAGAGAUGGCAUGAUGUCAAAUUCUGCUCUACUUAUUUGACCAAUUUAUGAAAGAAAAAAGAUCCCCUCA